UCGCAUUGUCGUAUACACGAUGAUUGGUUAUAAUUAAGAAUAUCCAUUAGUGUAUGAGCAGAUAGUGUAAGUAGGAGUAGUGGAAUUGCCGUUGGCGGUGUAGGCUGCUUGGCUGCUGCACAGUUAGGAGUUGGUGGUACGAGCCGAAUCCGUGUGUGUCGAAUGGGGUGCAUAACGUGGUGCCUGGUUAUGUGGUAUUUACGGCGAACCGAUAUGCAACUUUAUCAACGUGAUUUAGAGCAGGUUUCUGGGUAUGAUGGUUGGAAAAGGAGUGGAAGGGAAGCGAAUUUCACUGUUCAUGUGGUCUUGGUUUCGUAACUUCUUAAUACUUCAUUUUUUUCCAACUAUUUCGUCUGACGUGAGUUGAAGAUUUCACUACUCAAUAUUGUCACAUUUACGCGAUAUCUGAGCAAGCAGAUUCAAUCCGAGAAAGAAUACUUUGACUCAAUUUCAAAGCAUUUCCACCCCUCCCAUUGCAAAAUUGAGAAAUCUGAAGAUGUAGAUAAGGGUGAUGAUGAUUUGGCCAAAUUCACGAUGCUGAUAAAUGAUUGGUAGACCUUCUAUAAUUUCGAUUCCUCAAUCGCCGAACAAUUUUAUGAACGUGAAAGAUCGACACUGUUCUGUAUUCGUUUAUAUUAUUCUGUAGCGUAACUGUAUUAAACGGCUUUAGUAUUUUGUAAGAUAA